rnacentral:lncRNA from 1 species
GAGAGAGAGAGAGAGAGAGUGUCUGGUUGGAAUAUUAUCGAUAGCACCAAGGGUUUGGUGCUAUCGAGUUUUCCACCGUUAGAUUUAAUCCUUUAAUUAUUUUUACUCGUUAAAUUUUACUAUUGAACCAACCACCCACUCUACCACAGGAGGCCCAUAUCAUCCUAACCACACAUUUCUCCAUACAAGGGCUAAAAAAUAAUAGCACCAAUAGCUUGGUGCUAUUGAUAGUAUUCCAGCUUAGUUCUAUAUAAAUAUCCCACCAUUAUUUGUUUGAUAGAAACUCAAUAGCUUUAC